rnacentral:misc_RNA from 1 species
GAUGAAGAACGUAGCGAAAUGUGAUACGUAAUGUGAAUUGCAGAAUUCAGUGAAUCAUCGAGUCUUUGAACGCACAUUGCGCCCCCUGGUAUUCCGGGGGGCAUGCCUGUCCGAGCGUCAUUGCUGCCCUCAAGCACGGCUUGUGUGUUGGGCCUCCGUCCUCCUCCCGGGGGACGGGCCCGAAAGGCAGCGGCGGCACCGCGUCCGGUCCUCGAGUGUAUGGGGCUUCGUCACCCGCUCUUGUAGGCCCGGCCGGCGCUUGCCGACACAUCAAUCUUUUUUCCAGGUUGACCUCGGAUCAGGUAGGGAUACCCGCUGAACUUAAGCAUAUCAAUAAGCGGAGGA